GACGAACGCUGGCGGCGUGCUUAACACAUGCAAGUCGAACGGAAAGGCCCUGCUUUUGUGGGGUGCUCGAGUGGCGAACGGGUGAGUAACACGUGAGUAACCUGCCCUUGACUUUGGGAUAACUUCAGGAAACUGGGGCUAAUACCGGAUAGGAGCUCCUGCUGCAUGGUGGGGGUUGGAAAGUUUCGGCGGUUGGGGAUGGACUCGCGGCUUAUCAGCUUGUUGGUGGGGUAGUGGCUUACCAAGGCUUUGACGGGUAGCCGGCCUGGGAGGGUGACCGGCCACAUUGGGACUGAGAUAGGGCCCAGACUCCAACGGGGGGCAGCAGGGGGGAAUAUUGCACAAUGGGCGGAAGCCUGAUGCAGCAACGCCGCGUGCGGGAUGACGGCCUUCGGGUUGUAAACCGCUGUAGCCUGUGACGAAGCGGGAGUGACGGUAAUGGGUAAAGAAGCACCGGCUAACUACGUG
rnacentral:rRNA from 1 species